rnacentral:rRNA from 1 species
GCUACUGGAGUUCGAUUAAGCCAUGCGAGUCGAGAGUCUUAGGGACUCGGCGUACCGCUCAGUAACACGUGGGUAACCUGCCCUAUGCUGGGGAAUAACCUCGGGAAACUGAGAAUAAUGCCCCAUAGUCCACAAUGCCUGGAACGGUUUGUGGAUCAAAGCUCCGGCGGCAUAGGAUGGGCCUGCGGCGUAUCAGGUUGUAGGGGGUGUAACGUACCCUCUAGCCACCAACGCGUACGGGUGUUGGGAGACAUAGCCCGGAGAUGGAUUCUGAGACACGAAUCCAGACCCUACGGGGUGCAGCAGGCGCGAAAACUUGGCAAUGCGAGAAAUCGUGACCAGGGAACUCCAAGUGGCUGGGGUAAGACCCAGUCUUUUCUUGACUCUUCAAAGGUCUUGGAAUAAGGGGUGGGUAAGGACGGUGCCAGCCGCCGCGGUAAUACCGGCGCCUCAAGUGGUAGUCGAUUUUAUUGGGCCUAAAACGUCCGUAGCCUGUUUGGUACAUUCGUGGGUAAAUCAACCAGCUCAACUGGUUGAAUUCUGCGAGCACGGCCAGACUUGGGACCGGGAGAGGUGUGGGGUACGCUCAGGGUAGGGGUAAAAUCCUGUCAUCCUGAGCGGACCACCUGUUGCGAAGGCGCCACACUAGAACGGAUCCGACGGUCAGGGACGAAGCCUAGGGGCACGAACCGGAUUAGAUACCCGGGUAGUCCUAGGUGUAAACGCUGUGGACUUGGUGUUGGGGACUCUCCGAGAUUCCUCAGUGCCGAAGCGAAGGUGAUAAGUCCACUGCCUGGGGAGUACGGUCGCAAGGCUGAAACUUAAAGGAAUUGGCGGGGGAGCACCGC